GGGGAGGUACCGAAGUGGUCAAACGGGGCAGACUGUAAAUCUGUUGGCUAUGCCUUCGAAGGUUCGAACCCUUCCCUCCCCACCA
rnacentral:tRNA from 1 species